GUCACAGCCCGUCCCGGAAUUUUUAAUUCCAAGGACGUGAAAUUACGAAAAUGCCCCUAAUACGUGACUAAGGUAUAAUUUUUACGUUCGUUAUAUCUAAGUUCCUAAAAUUUGGUAAGUAGAGUGGAGACUUAGAUUUAAAUUUAUGUUAGAAUUUUGUAGUUGGGGAUUGGGUAGGAUCCCACACCCCUUAAUUCUUUCCCUCUUUCCCGUACCCUGUCUCUCUCUCUUCCCUCACGACUCUCUCUCACUCUCAGUUCUCUCUCUCUUCCUCUCCGACGCUCAACCUCACCCAAAACCACCUAAAACAUAAACAAACGUCCAAGGUAAGACCACAUUUGGACUCCUGGAACUUCCACGAUCACGUAGACAUCAAUUUCAGGUAAGUUCUACUUCGGAAAACGUAGUUUUAAAAGUUCCCGUGAAGAGCACUGUUCAUGAUCUUUGAAUAUGUU
rnacentral:lncRNA from 1 species